rnacentral:rRNA from 1 species
GACGAACGCUGGCGGCGUGCUUAACACAUGCAAGUCGAACGGAAAGGCCCUGCUUUUGUGGGGUGCUCGAGUGGCGAACGGGUGAGUAACACGUGAGUAACCUGCCCUUGACUUUGGGAUAACUUCAGGAAACUGGGGCUAAUACCGGAUAGGAGCUCCUGCUGCAUGGUGGGGGUUGGAAAGUUUCGGCGGUUGGGGAUGGACUCGCGGCUUAUCAGCUUGUUGGUGGGGUAGUGGCUUACCAAGGCUUUGACGGGUAGCCGGCCUGAGAGGGUGAACGGCCACAUUGGGACCGAGAUACGGCCCAGACUCCUACGGGAGGCAGCAGUGGGGAAUAUUGCACAAUGGGCGGAAGCCUGAUGCAGCAACGCCGCGUGCGGGAUGACGGCCUUCGGGUUGUAAACCGCUUUCGCCUGUGACGAAGCGUGAGUGACGGUAAUGGGUAAAGAAGCACCGGCUAACUACGUG